UACGGAGGGUGCGAGCGUUGUCCGGAAUCAUUGGGCGUAAAGGGCGCGUAGGUGGCCCGGUCAGUUCGUGGUGAAAGCGCGGGGCUCAACCCUGCGUCGGCCAUGAAUACUGCCGCGGCUGGAGCACUGUAGAGGCAGGCGGAAUUCCGGGUGUAGCGGUGGAAUGCGUAGAGAUCCGGAAGAACACCGGUGGCGAAGGCGGCCUGACUGGGCCAGUUGCUGGCACUGAGGCGCGACAGCGUGGGGAGCAAACAGGG
rnacentral:rRNA from 1 species